CCCUUAGAUGUUCUGGGCUGCACGCGCGCUACACUGGUGCGUUCAGCGAGUUUAGCACCUUAACAGAUAUGUUUGGGUAAUCUUCUGAAAACGCACCGUGAUGGGGAUCGAUUAUUGUAAUUAUUAAUCGUCAACGAGGAAUUCCUAGUAAGUGUGAAUCAUCAGUUCGCGCUGAUUACGUCCCUGCCCUUUGUACACACCGCCCGUCGCUGCUACCGAUUGAGUGGUCCGGUGAAUUAUUCGGACCGGUAGACUGUGGGGAAACCCGCGGCCUGCUGGGAAGUCUUGUGAACCUUAUCACUUAGAGGAAGCAGAAGUCGUAACA
rnacentral:rRNA from 1 species